CCUACGGGUGGCAGCAGUGGGGAAUAUUGCACAAUGGGGGAAACCCUGAUGCAGCGACGCCGCGUGAGCGAUGAAGUAUUUCGGUAUGUAAAGCUCUAUCAUCAGGGAAGAAAAUGACGGUACCUGACUAAUAAGCCCCGGCUAACUCCGUGCCAGCAGCCGCGGUAAUACGUAGGGGGCAAGCGUUAUCCGGAUUUACUGGGUGUAACGGGCGCGUAGACGGCUGUGCAAGCCAGAUGUGAAAGCCCGGGGCUCAACCCCGGGACUGCAUUUGGAACUGUGUGGCUGGAGUGCCGGAGAGGCAGGCGGAAUUCCUAGUGUAGCGGUGAAAUGCGUAGAUAUUAGGAGGAACACCAGUGGCGAAGGCGGCCUGCUGGACGAUGACUGACGUUGAGGCUCGAAAGCGUGGGGAGCAAACAGGAUUAGAUACCCUGGUAGUC
rnacentral:rRNA from 1 species